rnacentral:miRNA from 1 species
AUUUCAACUUAUAGGUUGGUGCAAAAGUAAUGGUGGUUUUGUCAUUGAAAGUAAUGGUAAAAACUACAAUUACUUUCGCACCAACCUAAUAUAUUU